rnacentral:rRNA from 1 species
GAUGAACGCUAGCGACAGGCUUAACACAUGCAAGUCGAGGGGCAGCGGGGGUAGCGAUACCCGCCGGCGACCGGCGCACGGGUGAGUAACGCGUAUGCAACUUGCCUAUCAGAGGGGGAUAACCCGGCGAAAGUCGGACUAAUACCGCAUGAAGCAGGGGCCCCGCAUGGGGGUAUUUGCUAAAGAUUCAUCGCUGAUAGAUAGGCAUGCGUUCCAUUAGGCAGUUGGCGGGGUAACGGCCCACCAAACCGACGAUGGAUAGGGGUUCUGAGAGGAAGGUCCCCCACAUUGGUACUGAGACACGGACCAAACUCCUACGGGAGGCAGCAGUGAGGAAUAUUGGUCAAUGGCCGAGAGGCUGAACCAGCCAAGUCGCGUGAGGGAUGAAGGUUCUAUGGAUCGUAAACCUCUUUUAUAAGGGAAUAAAGUGCGGGACGUGUCCCGUUUUGUAUGUACCUUAUGAAUAAGGAUCGGCUAACUCCGUGCCAGCAGCCGCGGUAAUACGGAGGAUCCGAGCGUUAUCCGGAUUUAUUGGGUUUAAAGGGUGCGUAGGCGGCCUUUUAAGUCAGCGGUGAAAGUCUGUGGCUCAACCAUAGAAUUGCCGUUGAAACUGGGGGGCUUGAGUAUGUUUGAGGCAGGCGGAAUGCGUGGUGUAGCGGUGAAAUGCUUAGAUAUCACGCAGAACCCCGAUUGCGAAGGCAGCCUGCCAAGCCAUGACUGACGCUGAUGCACGAAAGCGUGGGGAUCAAACAGGAUUAGAUACCCUGGUAGUCCACGCAGUAAACGAUGAUCACUAGCUGUUUGCGAUACAUUGUAAGCGGCACAGCGAAAGCGUUAAGUGAUCCACCUGGGGAGUACGCCGGCAACGGUGAAACUCAAAGGAAUUGACGGGGGCCCGCACAAGCGGAGGAACAUGUGGUUUAAUUCGAUGAUACGCGAGGAACCUUACCCGGGUUUGAACGCAUUCGGACCGAGGUGGAAACACCUUUUCUAGCAAUAGCCGUUUGCGAGGUGCUGCAUGGUUGUCGUCAGCUCGUGCCGUGAGGUGUCGGCUUAAGUGCCAUAACGAGCGCAACCCUUGCCACUAGUUACUAACAGGUAAAGCUGAGGACUCUGGUGGGACUGCCAGCGUAAGCUGCGAGGAAGGCGGGGAUGACGUCAAAUCAGCACGGCCCUUACAUCCGGGGCGACACACGUGUUACAAUGGCGUGGACAAAGGGAGGCCACCUGGCGACAGGGAGCGAAUCCCCAAACCACGUCUCAGUUCGGAUCGGAGUCUGCAACCCGACUCCGUGAAGCUGGAUUCGCUAGUAAUCGCGCAUCAGCCAUGGCGCGGUGAAUACGUUCCCGGGCCU